rnacentral:misc_RNA from 1 species
GUGAAGAACGUAGCGAAAUGCGAUAAGUAAUGCGAAUUGCAGAAUUCAGUGAAUCAUCGAAUCUUUGAACGCACAUUGCGCCCGCUAGUAUUCUGGCGGGCAUGCCUGUCUGAGCGUCAUUUCAACCCUCGCCCCCGGCUUUUGCUGGGAGCGGUGUUGGGGAUCGGCCGCCCGUCACUGGGAGGCCGGCCCCGAAAUAGAGUGGCGACCACGCCGUGUGCUCCUCUGCGUAGUAGUAAAUCACCUCGCAGGCGGACAGCGGUGCGGCCUGCCGUAAAACCCCCAACUCUUUCUGGUUGACCUCAGAUCAGGUAGGAAUACCCGCUGAACUUAAGCAUAUCAAUAAGCGGAGA